rnacentral:rRNA from 1 species
AUGUUCUGGCCAGUUGAUGCACAAAGGGUCCUUGCAAUUUCUUUGUCACAACAUGAUAUGUCGGAUUUUGUCGCUCGGAGCUAUUCAAAGAAUGGAACUUUUUCUGUUCGAUCAGCCUAUGCAGUGCAAUGGGAACACCAACACGGGGGAAAAUUAAGACACCAACACCAACAUAUGACUAUCAGUCCUAUUUGGAGUGAGAUUUGGAAAUUAUCAUGUCCAUCAAAGGUUAAAAUUUUCAUUUGGUGCACACUGCAUGGCACCCUCCCGUGUAGAGUUAAUUUGGUGAAUAGACAUAUAAAGAUUACCCCCAAUUGUCCGGCAUGUUCCUUUGGAUCAGAGGAUACAAAGCAUAUAUUAUUUCAAUGUCAGAAAGCCAAGGAGGUUUGGAAAAAACUAGGUCUAGAUCAGGUCAUUAAAAGAGCGUGCGAAGUUGAUUAUGCUGGUGAGGCGGUGCUUGAAUUUUUGCUUUCUAUGCCUGAACGGGAGCUUACGAUCUUGGGUAUUCCGAAUGUCCGUGAAUUAAUUGCAAUUUGAACUUGGUAUUUAUGGAAGGAGAGGCAAAAACUGGUCCAUAAGGAGAAAACUUGA